AAGCCUACAGCUCAGUUGGUUAGAACGUCCGACUCAUAAUCGGCAGGUCGAAGGUUCAAGUCCUUCUGGGCCCACCA
rnacentral:tRNA from 1 species